rnacentral:rRNA from 1 species
UACGAACUGUGCAAACGUUAUUCGGAAUCACUGGGCUUAAAGGGUGCGUAGGCGGUCAUUUAAGUAGGGUGUGAAAGCCCUCGGCUCAACCGAGGAAUUGCGCCCUAAACUGGAUGGCUGGAGUGAGAUAGGGGUGUGUGGAACUUCCGGUGGAGCGGUGAAAUGUGUUGAUAUCGGAAGGAACGCCGGUGGCGAAAGCGACACACUGGGUCUCAACUGACGCUGAGGCACGAAAGCCAGGGGAG